rnacentral:misc_RNA from 1 species
UCGAGUUUAUUUUGAAUGGAUUGAGUAGAUAUAGUUUUGCCCAUCUAAAACACGGUAGUAGUGUUUUAUAUUUGAUCUUUGAGAUGGGAUUCCAUUUGUUGCAUUUAACUUGUUUUCUUUGAAGUAAAAGAAGGAGAUGGGAAUUAUACGAACGACAUGAUUUGUGCUAAGGAUAGCUAUUGCUGGAGUGUAACGCCUUCUUUUGUUUUAUAGUGCGUUACUCUGCAAGCGUUUGAAUGACUCUUGGCAAUGGAUAUCUUGGCUCUCGUGUUGAUGAAGAACGUAGCAAAAUGCGACAUUUGGUGUGAAUUGCAGAAUACCGCGAACCAUCUAAUUUUUGAAUGCAAGUUGGCUCAAGACCAUUAGGUCGAGGGCACGUUUGUUUGGGUGUCUUGCAUCGUGUCAUUUUGAACACCAACAUAUCUUAAAUAUCAAGUUUAGAUAAUGGUGGAUGUGGAGAUUGGCCCUCCGUGCUUUUGGUUUGCGGUUGGUCCAAGUGAUGGUUGUUGCUAGGCUUUCACGUGGUGAAUUGUGAAUAGGGUCCAUGCAUGAAAUCUCUUGCUGUGUACAUGACUCCUAGACAUGUUGUAUAAUAAUUGAAACCAUUAUCGAUGUUUACGUGAUUCGUAAGCUUGAACC